CCACACUUUAGAUAGGUUUUGUGUCAGGCCCUAUUCUGUGAUAGGGCCUGAACUUCAGGUUACUGGCAGCACGGAUUGUGUUUCGUGUAUCCCAGAAGCGUUUGCAGGGUUGAAAAAUAUUGAUCGUGGCGAUCAUUUUGGCACCAAGUACAACUUACUGCGAGUGAUAUUUCGCCUUCGAUUUAGCUUUUAAACGCACUAAAAUUUG